UGGAGCAUAUGUUUUCAGUAAAUUUCCUUGCUAAAACCUUCUCCAUAUGAUCAUUAAUUUAUGAUAAGGUAAGGACUAAAAGAGAGGUCAGGGAUGACGUCAGAAAUAGGCACAUCUGGGCAUGUAUAUCCCCACCAAUCCACCAUCCCUAUACGUAUUAAUAUUAUGGUUCACUAGUUUUCGUUGGAAGCAGUUAUCAUCACAAGCACCUGAGUUUCUGAGUUCUGAAACAUGGAAACAUGGUUGUUGGUGGUGGUUUCCGCAUGCGUGUGUCUCCUCAUCAGAGCAAUAAUAAUAACUCUUACCAGCAGCAGUCACAAGAGCCAGGCCCGUCCUCGUCUUCCCCCGGGCCCACCACACAUUCCUAUCGUAACCAGUGUCGUCUGGCUCGCUAAAUCAUUCUCCCAAAUCGAGCCCAUCCUCGUCGGCCUUCGGGCCAAGUACGGGCCCGUCAUCACACUCCGCAUCACUACCCGGCCUGCCAUCUUCGUGGCGGAUCGCUCCCUGGCCCACCAGGCACUCGUCCAGAAGGGAGCCGUCUUCUCCGACCGGCCCCCUGCCCUAACCGUCUCCCGCAUACUCACCUGCAACCAGCACAACAUCAACUCCGCACCCUAUGGCCCCACGUGGCGCUCCCUCCGCCGCAACCUCACCACUGAGAUGCUGCACCCUAACCGCAUCAAAUCGUUCUCUUCAGUCCGUCGCUGGGUCCUCGACGUCCUCCUCAACCGCCUCAAGUCCGAUUCCGAAACCACACACUCCGUCAGAGUCAUCGAUCAUUUCCACUAUGCCAUGUUCUGCUUACUCGUCUUCAUGUGCUUCGGCGAAAAGUUGGACGAAAAGCAAGUCAAGGACGUGGAGCGUGUUCAGCGAGCGUUGCUUCUUGCAGUUAAUAGAUUCAACGUCCUCAAUUUCUGGCCAAUAAUCACUCGGAUUCUCUUCCGGAAUCGGUGGCAGGAGUUCUUUAGGCUUAAGGAGGAGCAGAGUGAUGUCUUGAUUCCGCUAAUUAGGGCUAGAAAGUGUGCAACGGAACACCGCGGUGGUGGUGGCGGUGACGGUGGCGGUGAUGUUGUUUCUUAUGUGGAUACUCUGUUGGAUUUAGAGUUGCCGGAGGAGAAGCGGAAAUUGAAUGAUGAAGAAUUGGUGACGCUGUGUUCGGAGUUCUUGAGUGCCGGUACGGACACGACGGCCACGGCGCUGCAGUGGAUUAUGGCGAAUGUGGUGAAGUACCCGCACGUGCAGCAGAGGCUUCUAGAAGAGAUUAGAGAGGUGAAGGGUGAGAGUAGAGAGGAGGUGAAAGAGGAGGAGCUGCAGAGGAUGCCGUACUUGAAGGCCGUGGUGUUGGAAGGGCUGCGGCGCCAUCCUCCGGGGCACUUUGUGCUGCCGCAUGCUGUGACGGAGGACGUGGUGUUGAAUGGUUACUUGGUGCCGAAGAAAGGCACGGUGAAUUUCAUGGUGGCGCAGAUAGGUUGGGAUCCCGAGGUGUGGGAGGAUCCCAUGGCAUUCAAGCCGGAGAGGUUCUUGGAGAAGGAGAAGGAUUUCGAUAUCACGGGGAACAAGGAAAUCAAGAUGAUGCCAUUUGGAGCUGGGAGGAGGAUCUGUCCUGGCUUUAAUCUAGCAAUGCUCCAUUUGGAGUACUUUGUGGCCAAUUUGGUUUGGAAUUUCGAUUGGAAGGUGCCCGAUGGAGAAACCGUUGAUUUGUCUGAAAAGCAGGAGUUUACUAUUGUCAUGAAGAAUCCAUUGCAUGCUCAUAUUACUUCUAGGAUCUGAAUGGAGGACCCUUAAUAAAGGUGAUACUUUUGAUCACAAUGAUGUAGUAGUUGGUCCAAAUAUUGUGAAUUUUAUAUAAUUCGUGUGUAAAUAAUGACACUGUUUCUCAGUUGUUAUUAAGAAGAAUCAUUUUGAGCUUAUUUUUGGUUUACCACUGGAUGAGCUUAUUUGUUCUGCAUCUAGCAUUUCAUUAUCUUCCUACACCCUUUUCCCAAACAAGAGUAUGUGCUGCAACAGUAGAAGUAAUGGAAUAAUGGUGCAGGGACUUUCUGGCAUGGAUACGUUUUUAUCUGUUAAUAUAAACAUAUCGUUUCUGUAUAGAUAGAUUGACAUUUUUUAUGUAUCAAAUUGCUCGAAAUGAUGUUUAUUUUGAAAUACACGGAAAAUUUCACUGUA